rnacentral:rRNA from 1 species
GGCAGCAGUGGGGAAUAUUGGACAAUGGGCGAAAGCCUGAUCCAGCCAUGCCGCGUGUGUGAAGAAGGUCUUCGGAUUGUAAAGCACUUUAAGUUGGGAGGAAGGGCAUUAACCUAAUACGUUAGUGUUUUGACGUUACCGACAGAAUAAGCACCGGCUAACUUCGUGCCAGCAGCCGCG